GGGGUAGCUGAGUGGGAGAUCGUCUGCUUAGCAUGCAGAAGGUCCCAGGUUCAAUCCUUGACAUAUCCA
rnacentral:tRNA from 1 species